GUGUAGGCUAGUAGUGCUGGUUCGGCUGCCCCACGGCAGUCGUCGCAAGAGGGAAUCCGGUGUAAUUCCGGAACUGUCCCGCAGCGGUCAAUGGGAACGACACAACGUAAGGCACUGGGCGGCAACGCCUGGGAAGUAGUAGUGGAGGAAGUCGGGAGUGAUCUCGCAAUGCCCAUGAGUCCGAAGACCUGCCAGCAGCGACAACAUCUGU
rnacentral:ncRNA from 19 species